AGAGUUUGAUCAUGGCUCAGGAUGAACGCUGGCGGUAUGCUUAACACAUGCAAGUCGAACGGAGUACUUCGGUACUUAGUGGCGGACGGGUGAGUAACGCGUGAGAAUCUGCCUUCAGGUUCGGGACAACCACUGGAAACGGUGGCUAAUACCGAAUGUGCAGCAAUGUGAAAAAUUUAUUGCCUGAAGAUGAGCUCGCGUCUGAUUAGCUAGUAGGUGUGGUAAGAGCGCACCUAGGCGACGAUCAGUAGCUGGUCUGAGAGGAUGAUCAGCCACACUGGGACUGAGACACGGCCCAGACUCCUACGGGAGGCAGCAGUGGGGAAUUUUCCGCAAUGGGCGAAAGCCUGACGGAGCAAUACCGCGUGAGGGAGGAAGGCUCUUGGGUUGUAAACCUCUUUUCUCAAGGAAGAAAAAAAUGACGGUACUUGAGGAAUAAGCAUCGGCUAACUCCGUGCCAGCAGCCGCGGUAAUACGGAGGAUGCAAGCGUUAUCCGGAAUGAUUGGGCGUAAAGCGUCCGCAGGUGGCUAUGUAAGUCUGCUGUUAAAGAGUCUGGCUCAACCAGAUAAAGGCAGUGGAAACUACAUGGCUAGAGUGCGUUCGGGGCAGAGGGAAUUCCUGGUGUAGCGGUGAAAUGCGUAGAGAUCAGGAAGAACACCGGUGGCGAAAGCGCUCUGCUAGGCCGCAACUGACACUGAGGGACGAAAGCUAGGGGAGCGAAUGGGAUUAGAUACCCCAGUAGUCC
rnacentral:rRNA from 1 species